rnacentral:rRNA from 1 species
UGCGUAGGCGGACAAAUAAGUCAGUGGUGAAAGACUUCGGCUCAACUGAAGAAUUGCCUUUGAUAUUGUUUGUCUUGAAUUAGGUUGAGGUCAGCGGAAUGUGACAUGUAGCGGUGAAAUGCAUAGAUAUGUCAUAGAACACCAAUUGCGAAGACAGCUGGCUAGGCCUGAAUUGACGCUGAGGCACGAAAGCGUGGGGAGCGAACAGGAUUAGAUACCCUGGUAGUCC